rnacentral:rRNA from 1 species
UGAGCCUUGAUGUGUAGGAUAGGUGGGAGGCUUUGAAGUGUGGACGCCAGUCUGCAUGGAGCCGACCUUGAAAUACCACCCUUUAAUGUUUGAUGUUCUAACGUUGACCCGUAAUCCGGGUUGCGGACAGUGUCUGGUGGGUAGUUUGACUGGGGCGGUCUCCUCCUAAAGAGUAACGGAGGAGCACGAAGGUUGGCUAAUCCUGGUCGGACAUCAGGAGGUUAGUGCAAUGGCAUAAGCCAGCUUGACUGCGAGCGUGACGGCGCGAGCAGGUGCGAAAGCAGGUCAUAGUGAUCCGGUGGUUCUGAAUGGAAGGGCCAUCGCUCAACGGAUAAAAGGUACUCCGGGGAUAACAGGCUGAUACCGCCCAAGAGUUCAUAUCGACGGCGGUGUUUGGCACCUCGAUGUCGGCUCAUCACAUCCUGGGGCUGAAGUAGGUCCCAAGGGUAUGGCUGUUCGCCAUUUAAAGUGGUACGCGAGCUGGGUUUAGAACGUCGUGAGACAGUUCGGUCCCUAUCUGCCGUGGGCGCUGGAGAACUGAGGGGGGCUGCUCCUAGUACGAGAGGACCGGAGUGGACGCAUCACUGGUGUUCGGGUUGUCAUGCCAAUGGCACUGCCCGGUAGCUAAAUGCGGAAGAGAUAAGUGCUGAAAGCAUCUAAGCACGAAACUUGCCCCGAGAUGAGUUCUCCCUGACUCCUUGAGAGUCCUGAAGGAACGUUGAAGACGACGACGUUGAUAGGCCGGGUGUGUAAGCGCAGCGAUGCGUUGAGCUAACCGGUACUAAUGAACCGUGAGGCUUAACCUUACAACGCCGAAGCUGUU